GGUUGAUCCUGCCAGUAGUCAUAUGCUUGUCUCAAAGAUUAAGCCAUGCAUGUCUAAGUAUAAGCAAUUGUACAGUGAAACUGCGAAUGGCUCAUUACAACAGUUAUCGUUUAUUUGAAGGUGACUUGCUACAUGGAUAACCGUGGUAAUUCUAGAGCUAAUACAUGCGCAGAGCCCGACUGCGAGGAAGGGCGGUAUUUAUUAGGUACAGGCCAGCGCGGCGCAAGCCGGCAUUUGGUGAUUCAUGGUAGAGAGAGGGAUCGCCCGCAAGGGCGACGGUUCAUUCAAAUUU
rnacentral:rRNA from 1 species